UACGUAGGGUCCAAGCGUUAUCCGGAAUCACUGGGCGUAAAGCGUGCGUAGGUGGAUGUUUAAGUGUGAUGUUAAAUCGUGUGGCUCAACCAUAUCGAUGUGUCGCAUACUGGGCAUCUAGAGGACAGCAGAGGCAAGUGGAAUUGGUAGUGUAGCAGUGAAAUGCGUAGAUAUUACCAGGAACACCAAUGGCGAAGGCAGCUUGCUGGGCUACUCCUGACACUGAGGUACGAAAGCGUGGGUAGCAAACAGG
rnacentral:rRNA from 1 species